rnacentral:siRNA from 1 species
ACGUCAUGGAGAUUUUGCCCUGGU